CUUGUCUAGUUUCUCUUUAGAUCAUAUAAAUCUUUUACCUUUUGCUAAAAAUUUCCAUAGAAUGGAAAAGUUAUGAAUAUGGAAACAAUUUUGAGACUCUGAGAAACAGCAGAGUU